rnacentral:misc_RNA from 1 species
CCUUUUGGACUCUCUAUGUUUGGGAUGGACUGGGGGGCGACUCCAGCAUGUUAACCAUAGACAGUUUAAUAAGGAGAAGGUGUUGAAUGGGAUGGUGGUGAGUCUGGGUAGGUGUGUUCCAGAAGAUGGGUUUCAUGGUCCCGAGGUUAGAGCUCCGCCUCUCCAGAUUUCAGGUUUUCCACGGGUGCUUCCCGCACUUGUGCUAAGCUACAAGUCCAGGGAUGGACUGGGGGAGACAAGGACUCUGCAGCAGGCGAGUCUACAAGUCUCUAAGUUCCCAAGGCUGUGCAUGUCCAUGCAUAGAGUGCUCGAGUGUCUGAGUGUCUGAGCAGGUGGGAUGCAUGCAACGUUGGUGCGGUCUGGCCUGAGAUCAGACGGUGACAAGUUCAGCUGGCAGGCUGCUGGUGGUCAUACUGAGUGCUGAGCACUCCUCUGACUGCAGCACGUCUGCCAGCAUCCUUGUGUGGGCUCUGGGCGGCCGACUGCUUAUAGGUGAUGUUCCAACAUACUGUC